CUUGAUCGAGCCCACCCACAGCGGCCGCCCCGGCGGACGGCCCUGUCCAUAGGUGGCCAGCAACGCCUCCGCCUC
rnacentral:antisense_RNA from 1 species